UACCUUAAACUUGCUUUCCUAGAACAUUUUAAAUACAAGACUGUACAAGCAUGUGUUUCAUUAGCUGUCAGAAUGAUACAUUAUCGUCACAUAGCGUGGAUUCACCAUUGUGAAGAAGGCAGAUAACAUCUUUGUAUUACUAAAAAUUGUUUUGACAUUGUAGAUUCCCUGAAAAGCUCUCAGAUUCCCCCCAGGGGUCUCUGGAUUACACUUUGAAAAUGCUGAUAUAAGAGUUCCUGUUGUGGCUUAACGGAAACGAACCCAACUAGUAUCCAUGAGGAUGCGGGUUCAAUCCCUGUACCCACUCAGUGGAUUAAGGAUCUGGCGUUGCCUUAAGCUGCAGUGUAGGUUACAGAUGCUGCUCCAAUCUGGUGUGGCUGUGGCAUAAGCUGGCAGCUGCAGCUGUGAUUUGACCUCUAGUCCAGGAACUGCCAUGUGCCACACCUGCAGCCCUUAAAAAAAAAAAAAAAAAAGGGAAAAUGCUGAUCUAAGUUGGUGCUGUGUCCUAACAUAUUUUUAGAGCAGGCUCCCAUAGACAUCUAUAUCAAUAAAGUAAUGUUUCCAUCUUAGCUCAUUGAUUCGUCAGGUAGAAGGAAAUAUCCUAGUGUAUGAGAUGAGCCGUGUGACCCGGAGACGGUAAUGGUGGAAGGUCCCUUAACCUCAGAGAUGCUGUGUACAGGUAGACAGAAGGGAGGAGUCUGUAGAAGUGCUUUGCAGCUUAACAAAAAACGAGCAUGUUUUUUUUUUUUUUUUUUUUUAAGCUACUAAAAAGCUGGGCUCACUUGUAUCAUUUGUGUGUGUGUAUAUUCAUUCAUAACCAUUUGUGUCUGUGCUCAGAACCAGGGUACUCAGUCUUUUUUCCUUGAUUGGCAGCAGGGGAGGGAUGGUUACACACUCCAGAGAACAGGUGUUCAUAGCUGUUGUUCUUUUCUCCCAACCAGGGAGGCUGGGAGUGGAGUAGACCUUUGUGAUCAUGGGACCCACUAUAGGCAGAAAUGGGCUGUGACCAGAGAGUGGAGAUGAGCAUUGAGGGGCAGAGGAAGAGUAUGGGGUGCACUGAGUUCUCCCAUAUGCUGGACACAGGACAGAUGGGGCCCAGGGGUGUCCAGAGAUGGAUGCAACUAGAGUCAUGAAGGUGAACAUAUAUUUGAAAGAUGUCCAUUCAAACACAGUUGAAAUAACUAGUGAAAUAACUGUACUGGGUACUCUGACUUUUAAUGUAAUACCAGUAUUCAAAUUCUAUUAUUAUAACCUGUACAGAAGAAUUUGCUGUAGUGCUGGUAAGUCUCUAAGCUUUGGUUACCAAGCAUCAGUAAGUGAAAAUAUUGCCUGGGCCAGGUUUGGGGCUGCAAAUUCAAGAAUGAAAUUUUAAUAUUUGUUUUUUUUCUAACAGGCAGUUAUGAUUAAAGGAGAUAGAAGAGUUUAGUCCAGAGAGAGAUCAUUUUAUCAGUGUGUUAUUUAUGUGGUACUCACUUCCAAAAAGGAUUUGAGAUGGGAGAAGAAAGGAUCAAAAGUCAAUAAUCAAGAACAGACAUGAUUCUAAGUCAUGUAUUUUUCCCUUUUGUUUUGUGUAUUGAUGACAUUUAUUUUAAUAGGGUCAUAUAGUUGAGGUACUGUAACUAUAAAGUAAUUAAAUUGGUCUCUAUUACCUGUGCAGGAGAAAUAUAAUAUUGUCACUUUUUAGUUGCAUGAGUAAGAGCAGAAUAAAAUGUUUGUAAUGGGAAGGAUCGGGCAGAAAAAUCGUGGCAGGACACAGAAAUUAAAAAAAAUUUAGUACUGCUUUCAGCUGUAGUUAACAGAAAGCUAUAAGCAGAGGCUUAAACAUAAGCUAUUCACUAUUAAUGCGGGUCAGAGGUCUCAAAUGGUUCAGCUGCUCAGUGGUGUUCUCAGGGCCCCAGGUUCUCUGCCAUCUCUUGUAUGGUCACUUAUUGCCACCAGGUCACAGAACGGUUGCCUCAGCUCUAGGUAUCACAUUCCUUUUCAAGGCAAGGACGAAGAAGUAGGCAGAACAAGUAAGCCCUACUCCUUGGUUUGCCCAACAGAGAACAAAAUCUCCCCCGAAGCUUCCAUCCAGUUUUCUCUGAAGUUCUCGUUUGCUUGAAUGGGUUCUCAAACCUGCCCCUGCUUCACAGGAGAUUCUGGGCAAAUGAGCAUCUGGCCCAGGAAAAGGGGCCCGAGGGUUGGUGUAGCGCCUGUCAUGUAGCAUUUCCUAGGCUUAAGCACGUUUCUGGCUGCCCAGGACCAGCUGGGCCUCAGUUAGCAAAAGGGGAAGAAAUAUCUCUUGGGUGGCUGGCUGGGUGUGUCUCUCACAAAUAGGAAAGAGAGGAAAGUAUAGAGUAUUAAGCAGCUUGCUACAACUCUCCUCUCAUCUGGAGACUAUUUUAUGUGUUUCCUUCUUAUGUGUUCCCUUUUCUUUCUAAUUUUAGUGGAAAAUUACAGAGACCUAUAUCCCAAUUAGUUGUAGAGCUAAUUAGAGACAGUUAGGUCUCAACUUCCUCAAUUGUGAAAUAAGAAUGUUGUAUUAGAUAACCUCUGAAGAACCUUCUGGUUCAAAAACUUGUCUCUUCUUUUUUUUUCCUUUUUUGACCAUUUCACGUUUUUUUUUUUUAAUUUUACGACCACACUUGCAGCACAUGGACGUUCUUAGGCCAGGGACUGACUCCAGGCUGCAGCUGCAACCUGUGCUCAGCUGAGGCAGUGCCAGAUCCUUAACCUGCUGCACUAGCGGGAAUUGAAUCUGCACCUCCGCAGUGACCCAAGCUUCUGUAGUCAGAUUCUUAACUCUUUAUUCCACAGUGAGAACUCUAACAUCCUUUUUUUUUUUUUAAUCAAAAAAGUGGACAGAACUAAAGAUAGGUGGUAUUAUAUAGUCAUCUUGAUAGCUGGGCAAUAUUGCUAAUAAAGAUCUUGAUGAUUUAGAAGAUUAAAGCUGAAGUUAAUUGGGUUUUGGCUUUUUGGAAGUUGAAUAAUACUUACGCCCCAUUUUUCCAUUAAAAGUGGAAAACUGGGAGUUCUUGUCUUGGCGCAGUGGAAAUGAAUCCAACUAGGAACCAUGAGGUUUCGGGUUCAAUCCCUGGCCUCACUCAGUGGAUUUAAGGAUCCGGUGUGGCCGUGAGCUGUGGUGUAGGUUGCGGAUGUGGCUGGGAUCUGGCAUUGCUGCGGCUCUGGCCGGCAGCAACAGCUCCGAUUAGACCCCUAACCUGGGAACCUUUAUGUGCCACAGAUGUGGCCCUGAAAAGACAAAAAAGACCCCCCCCCC
ensembl:lncRNA